rnacentral:rRNA from 1 species
UACAGAGGUCCCGAGCGUUGUUCGGAUUCAUUGGGCGUAAAGGGCUCGUAGGCGGCCAACUAAGUCGGACGUGAAAUCCCUCGGCUUAACCGGGGAACUGCGUCCGAUACUGGAUGGCUUGAGUUCGGGAGAGGGAUGCGGAAUUCCAGGUGUAGCGGUGAAAUGCGUAGAUAUCUGGAGGAACACCGGUGGCGAAGGCGGCAUCCUGGACCGACACUGACGCUGAGGAGCGAAAGCCAGGGGAGCAAACGGG